rnacentral:rRNA from 1 species
GAUGAACGCUGGCGGCGUGCCUAAUACAUGCAAGUCGAGCGAACGGACGAGAAGCUUGCUUCUCUGAUGUUAGCGGCGGACGGGUGAGUAACACGUGGAUAACCUACCUAUAAGACUGGUAUAACUUCGGGAAACCGUAGCUAAUACCGGAUAAUAUUUUGAACCGCAUGGUUCAAAAGUGAAAGACGGUCUUGCUGUCACUUAUAGAUGGAUCCGCGCUGCAUUAGCUAGUUGGUAAGGUAACGGCUUACCAAGGCAACGAUGCAUAGCCGACCUGAGAGGGUGGUCGGCCACACUGGAACUGAGACACGGUCCAGACUCCUACGAGAGGCAGCAGUAGGGAAUCUUCCGCAAUUGGCGAAAGCCUGACGGAGCAACGCCGCGUGAGUGAUGAAGGUCUUCGGAUCGUAAAACUCUGUUAUUAGGGAAGAACAUAUGUGUAAGUAACUGUGCACAUCUUGACGGUACCUAAUCAGAAAGCCACGGCCAACUACGUG